rnacentral:rRNA from 1 species
AUUAACGCUGGCGGCGUGCCUAACACAUGCAAGUCGAGCGGCAGCGAGUUUUACACUGAAUUCUGGAAGCUUCUAGUUGAAAGAGAAGAUUUAUUCAAGAAUUUUGUGUAAAAUGUCGGCGAGCGGCGGACGGCUGAGUAACGCGUGGGAACGUACCCCAAAGUGAGGGAUAACGCAUCGAAAGGUGUGCUAAUACCGCAUAUGGUCUUCGGAUUAAAGCCUUCGGGCGCUUUGGGAACGGCCUGCGUAAGAUUAGAUAGUUGGUGGGGUAAUGGCCUACCAAGUCGACGAUCUUUAACUGGUUUGAGAGGAUGAUCAGUCAGACUGGAACUGAGACACGGUCCAGACUCCUACGGGAGGCAGCAGUGAGGAAUCUUCCACAAUGGGCGAAAGCCUGAUGGAGCAACGCCGCGUGCAGGAUGAAGACCUUCGGGUUGUAAACUGCUUUUAUAAGUGAGGAUUAUGACAGUAACUUAUGAAUAAGGAUCGGCUAACUACGUG